GCAUAUCGGUACCGACCUUUUUCCCUGGCAUACACUAUUAUCAUUCAUCAGUAGUCCCAUAAAUAAGCCUUCAUCACAUUAAAGUAUUCAUGUUUUUUUCACAAAAUUAAAGCAAAAAUGUUUUGUACUACUCAUGCCCUUCGUAGCAAUAUAAGUUUAGGAUUUAAAGAUCAUUCAAAUUGACACCUACAUUAUGAUAAUAUUACUUUUGCCCGUGUGUUUUAUAAUCCUAAAAUUAAUUGUUUUAUACUGGUAAUUUGAAGUCAAUUAAGAGAUUUUUUCACAGAAGAAUAUUUGGUUUACAGGUGUCUUGUUAGCACAUAACUUGGUGCACAGUCUAUACAGAAUCGUUAAAAUUUUCUUUGUAUUUGGACAAGGGUAAGGGUGAAGAUGCCAACACUACUUGGAGAAAAUUUCCUUCAGUCUUGAAAGGUAAAUCGUUUGAUCCUUUUGAGGGAGAGAAAAACUCUCUAGUCAUGUCCAAGGAGAGUUUUUGGAUUACCUUAAUGCUUCGAUUUCUUUUCCUCUCUUUUUGGGUUUCAUCAAACAUUUUUUGGUCAAGUUUAGAGGUUA
rnacentral:misc_RNA from 1 species